rnacentral:rRNA from 1 species
UACGGAGGAUGCGAGCGUUAUCCGGAUUUAUUGGGUUUAAAGGGUGCGUAGGCGGUCGGAUAAGUUAGAGGUGAAAUCCCGAGGCUCAACUUCGGAAUUGCCUCUGAUACUGUUCAGCUAGAGAGUAGUUGCGGUAGGCGGAAUGUGUGGUGUAGCGGUGAAAUGCAUAGAUAUCACACAGAACUCCGAUUGCGAAGGCAGCAUACCGGCGCCCAACUGACGCUGAAGCACGAAAGCGUGGGUAUCGAACAGG